GUAACGUGCUGUUUCCAUGGAGACUGGAGCAGGUGGUCCAUGAUGCUAGCGAUCGUCAUCUCCAUCCCGAGCUGAAUGGGAUGACGUCUGCUCUCUGGCUGUUGGUCGAAGAUCCUUCCUGUAAAACGUCGGAAACCCCGAGCUGAAGAGUUCAAACAGUAUUGAGGAGGGAGGUGAGCGGUCCACUUCAGCUCCUCCUGCUUUUCCAGAGGCUGCGUGUGAUUGUAUACUGCAACAUACACCGCUACUGCUGAGCAACAUGAGCUGCUGCUACUGCUGCUGCUGAGCGUGUCAACAAAUGUGUGUCUCCUGCGACUGUCUCUCCACGUCCAUCACGUGUCUACUGAAGUCCACCCUCCUGCUCACCCAUCAACGUGCCAACAGACAGCCACUUCCUUUGAUAUGGUUUUGGUGUUUUGGUGCUGCAUUCGUGCCACAUCUGCAGAACGGGAGGAACAGGAAACCCUGCCGUCACACAAAUCACCCCAAGAAUCACUGUGGUGAAGCAUCAAGUGUCGUCAGAAAAGAAAAACACCAUCGACCAAGCAGCAGAUUGGCGGUUGCCUCGGCCUCAGGCUGGACUCCGAGUCAAGGUUGACAGCUCAUCACGCUGAGUGACAAGCGUCGGGGCGGGAACUCGACCAGAUGAGGGGGAGGAAGUUAAGCAUCAGUUGUUUCAGCAGGUGCCCCAAAGCGUAAUACGUUAACGUUCAAGGUAGGUGGACGGAUGGGUCACCAAAGAGUCGGACUUGAACACGGGAGAGGCUGCUGUUUGUUUCCUGUUUCCCAAACGAAGGUCAGUGGUUUGUUUUUUUUAAAAGCCUGACGCCGAAAACACACCUGGCAGCGACGAAGUGCGGCUCGUUACAAUAAUAAAAUGUCUCUGCGGCAGGGAGGCGUGAUCAUGUGUUUCAGACGGGACGAAAUUCUCAGUAACAUAGGUCAACAUGUCAGGAGGUACAGGAUAUAUUUACUGAUCGGCUGUGGGUGCAUCAUUUGCUGCUAAAAGUUAAACUAUCCCCAACUCUUAGUUUGGCAGCUCGUUGAGCUCAGAGCGGCCGUCGCAGCUUUCCACAGACGUUGCACGGCAGCUCGCCACAGCCUGCUCUUCACCGCUGCUCUGGUGUGUUUUUUGGCGUGGCAGGGAUUGUUCCAGUAUCUCAACUAUGUGUUUAUUAUUGUAACCAUGGCGACCAAUGUCCGGCUCCCAAACCACUAUGUUUCCCUAAACCGAACCACGUCAUUUAUGUGCCUAAACCUAACCAAACCUUAACCAUAGACCUGUCACAUCAUGAAACAGAUUUAUUACUAUUUAUUAUUAUUCUGUGUGUGGAGAAAUGGCAUAUUUUGUUAUUUAAUUUAGAGCACUUGUGCUUGAGAAGGAAGAUUAAUUUAUAUUAAUUUAUUUGCAUAUAUCAAUAUAUAUAAUAAUACAUAUGUAUUAUUGGUCCUGUUUCUGUCUCGGUAAUGCUCCAGGUGCAUAUUCCAUAACACUGGAUGGCGAAAAACACACAAAAUCAACUUUUCUCCCAUCUCUGUGGUGAUGUUUCUAUCCGUCCGUAAAGAGAUGCAUUUCCUUGGGUGUAAACGAGGUGUAAUACGAAUGUAAAACAUUUAACGUGUGCAGAACACACAGUCUUUGUUGCUCUAUUGCUUCAGCGUUCAUGUUAAAGGUCAAAUUCUCGUCAGUUUUAGUACCAAAGUGCUUAAAACUCUCAGCACUUCUUGCCCUUUAGAAACGAUCUGAGGAGGUGGAAGUGAUGCUUUUCUGAAGUCAGUAGCCGUGUCUUUAGUUUUGGAAAUUCUCAGUGUCAGAAAGAAAUCAUCAGAGCAGCCUUUGUCUUUCUCUUUCAACCUGCCACUUCCCUUCCACGUUGCACUCCUUUGACAUAUUUCUUUCUUCCUCUCUCUCUCUCUCUCUCUCUCUCUCUCUCCUUGUUUCUCUUCCUCUGCCUCCCCUUCCCCUCGUCUCUGCUUCCUCCCACCUCCCCGCCCGUCUCACAGUGUGUGAUUGAUGUCGCGAGGUAGCAUUAACACUUCUCACGCUGCUAGUACAUGGAGGAGGGAGGGGGGGGUGAUGUACAUGAACGAUUGAUUACCUUACUGCUACUAGCUGAUGACUGCUCCAACGACGGCUCCCCUGGAAUCGAUAACUACUGCUCUUUCUUUCUUUCUUUCUUACCCCCCCUCCCUAAACUUUCCCCCCCUCAAUUCUCCAAAUCAGAGACGAGGAGCUCAUGCAGCAAUUAUGAAGGAAAGGCACAUUUGCAUACGGAAAAAUAAUUAAAACAAACAAAGUGAGGCUGGGACCCCCUGGAGAGAGGAGCAGGGAGGAGCGGGGAGGAGGAGGAAGUGAAUAAUGUGGGCAUAGAAAGAGGUUUAAUUGCUCCACGCCGGGGUUGUGCCAUUUAUCUUCAACUCUCUCGCUCUGACGCCAUUUCAUUUGUCACCUUAGCGCAGAUGAGAGUUUACGUAGGUGUUCUCGGGAUAUCUGUUUCAAGGUAAAGCACCCAGACACGCACGCACAGACGCAUUACACUAUCAUACUUUGAAGAGACAGGUACGAAAUGCCGCGGCGUCAGCGUGGAGAGAUGACUCAGAGCUCGCCAAAGUUAACUGCGUCCUCACUCACUCGCACACACAUUUAGUUGCUUUAGUCUAAAGAGCUGUUACAUAAAAGAGUCCAGUUUUCAGAGAGAAAUGUUCUGCUCUUUUGCUGUCUGUCCCUCAGAAGCAGUCAUUAUGCUCCUGGAGCUUCCACACUUCCUCUCUAGUGUGUGUGUGUGUGUGUGUGUGUGCAUGUGUAUAAUGUGUGUUUUUGUGCAGAUUAUCGUCCAUGUGUGCUGUGUGUGAGUUCCCAUCUUUGUCUCAUUGUGUGUGUGUGUGUGUGCGGUGCUUUUGAGCAGGCUCCCCGCUGACGCCGCAGGGGUGCGAGUCGUCACGCGCUGAGGGCCGUCCGCUACGUUAGCGCCGGAGCAGCUAAAACUCCAUUUUCAGCAGAGUGUUUGAAGCCAGAGGAUGAAAGUCGCUGCUCUCCCUCUCUCUCUCUCUCUCUCUCUCUCUCUCUCUCUCUCUCUCUCUCUCGCUCUCUUCUGACGCCUCUGAUGGACAACUCAGUGGCCAGCCACUUCUUUAAUUAAAGGCACAGUCUGCCGUUUUCUCCUUAGAUGAAAGAGUAUUGACCUGAUGGGGCUCUUGGUAGAUAGGGACGAUGGGAGUGUCACCGAACUCAGUUUGGUCUCCCAAGACUGAGUGUGUUUUAGUCACAUUAGAGUCGGGGAAUGUGGCCAGAAUCAACUCUAAUGCAGCGCAAAUACAGUAUGCAAGUUAAUCACUAUGGUUGUUUUACUGGUAUUUCAUUCUAGAUCACAGUUUACUGCAGUUUCAACACUCAACUAUAUCCCCCCGUGGCCCUGCAAAUAAUGCUUUUCCUUUCUAAGAAGAAGUAGUGAGACGUUGUCAUUGUUCAGGCUGUUCGUAUUUAAUCCACAUAAUCGGGAACCAGGAAGUAUAAAGAGUGCUAAACACAGCGUAGGGAGGAGAUCAGGGUGGACUGGUGGGCUGAAAAACACCUGAUUUUUGCCCAGGAGACCGGCGUUUUCGUCCUGUAUGAAACCAGAAAUCAACGUUGAUUUAUUCACGUAACUUCUGUACUUAAGUAAUGCCACUUUCGUAGUUAUUUUAACCCAAACGUUGACUUAUUUGUCACGUGACUUCCAUACUUCAGUUACACCACUUCUUCGUGCUCUCUAUCAGCUUUGAUCACGUCAUAAUGGGUCAUCAUUUUAGGUUUUUUUUAGGCAAGAUGGAGAGUGUGAAGUGUAAAUGUAUUGGUACCAAUUUCAAUCUCUCUGGAUUAGGGUUUGUUUGGGGGAA